UAACAAUGAGGUAUUUAACACUGAAGUGGAUAGAGCAAGUACUUGAAAACUGUUGCACCAAGUCUCUUCCCAAAGAAAAACAUGCAUGUCUUGCUUGGUGUGAGGUCAUGCUUAUCAACAAGGUCCUUGGCUUCCUUCUUGCAGCUGGGAUAAAGAAGCCAAGCCCGCACGCAUCCCGCUGCAAUGUAACAGAGGGGAGAUGCCAUGGGCAGGAAAUCCUUAUCUUGGAGAAAGGAGCUGGCUUUACAGAUACAUGUGGCCCUAGAAGUUCAGGGGGCUGCUGGAAGCUGGCAGAGGCUGCUCCAUGGAGAAGAGGAGAUGGAGGGGGUCCCCAGAGACAUUCUGUGCCUGAACUUCUGAAUUUUAGACUCCACAUCUUCAAUACACCCUUACUGUAUCUCAGGAGAGACAUAACUUACAUUGAGAGACAGAGGGCAGGGCGGUACUAGUCACUGCUGGCCCUGAAAUGAAUUCAGUGGGCAGGAGCCUUUCCAGGGACAGAGACUAAGACCCAGCUGGAUGUGUCUUCGGAGAAACAUUUCUUCACUGCUCCCUA